ensembl:lncRNA
GUUUGGAUUAGGGUUGGAAAGGACCUUAAAGAUCAUCCAGUUCCGGUUCAUAGCAGGGGGGUUGGGCUACCCAGGGUUCCAUCCAAUUUGUCUUUGAACAUUUCCAGGGAUGGGGCAUCCACAGCUUUUCUGGUCAGCCUGUGUCAGCGCCUUGCCAUCCUUUCAGUAAAAAUAUUCUUCCUUAUAUUCAGUCUAAAUCUACCCCCUUUUAGUUUUAAAACCAUUGUCCCUCGUUUUGUCAUUACUGGCCCUGGUAAAACAAGCAACCAAACAAAAAACAACACCCUUUCUUCACCUUUCUCGUAGGCCCCAUCCAAAUACUGGAAAGCCACAGUCAGCUCUCCUUGGAUCUUUCUCUUCUCCACACUGAACAAGCGCAACUCCCUCAGCCUUUGUAGGAGAGGUGCUCCAGUCCUCUAGCUACCUUCAUGACCCUUCUCUGGAUUUGCCUUUGUAGAUCCGUGUCUCUUUUGUUCUGCAGCUCCUGGAGUUGGAUGGGCCAGCCCUUGUAGGUUCGGAGUCACCUGACGAGGCAGAAAAAGUGAUUAAAUGUGCAUUUAAGCAUAUUUACAUGGAUGCACACCUUUGAGAAGCCUACUCUGUGGUAGUUAAGAAUCACAGAUGUUGAUUGCAGUGCCUACCUUGUUCUGUUACAACUGCUAUUUCUGUUGACAAAAAAGGUUAUGGUAUUUCUCAUUUGGGAAAUGAAGGUACUUGCAAUCCACCAUCCCCUGGUCUCUGAGAAGUGACCCAGCCUGAUGCAUAUAUAUCCAUCCUGCUUCAUUCCACCACUCCUUUCUAAGCCAGCAGCCUAAUAAUGAAGCUCUUCAUGAGACUGUGAAGCCAGUACCAGCAACAAUGAGUCUUCAUUAUUCCUGGAGAAGACUGGGGUGUUUGAUAUGCAUGAAGCUUUGUGCAGAUAGCUACGACUAUAAACUGCCAUUUGUUACUGUCAAACAAAUAAGUGUUACAACUAUUUAGAAGUGUUGCUCUUCUCUAGCAAGGGAUUUAUACUUGAAAAAUAAAACAAAAACUAAUUAGUACCUUAUCUUUUUUUUUUCCACCGAAAUGAAUGGAUUUUGGCUGAUGAACGGAAAUCUUGUUCCCUGUUACUGCUUACUCAAUGGGGUUGGAAAUGAUAAAGAAUUGGAUUGAUAUAAGUAACUGAGAUACUUACCUGUGACCUGAGACCUAGUCUGACGAAUCUUUUAGCUAUUUGCACAUAGAUACCAUGUUUGUAAAAUACACAAACUUGUCACAUAAUACAUAACUAUGUAUUUGUAGAUUUAAAAAAUAUAUGUACUUUGCAGAGACCCUACAAAUUGAAAAUGCUGAUCAUCUAUUUGGCUUUUUGUUAUGCAGGAAG